GCUAGUGUUUUCAACAGGGGUUGUAGCUAUCUUCUAACCUUCAUUACAGUGCACUGCGUUAGGAAAUAAUCUGUUUUACAGAAAUGGAAAAAACUAUAAUAUGAUACCUGUUCAAUCUCCAUGCAGCAUACAGUAUGUUUUCUUGUUCUGUAGCCAUCCUGUGACAUUUGCCACAUGGCUACCUGUAAUUAAUAACAUUACAUGAUGCAACAUGUUUUUGUGUGCGUAUGUCUGACAACCCACCUCUCCCGGGAGUGGCAAAUCACUAGUGUCUACCUGACGCCCACAAAUUGGUGACAAUCUCCAUAACAGAAUGAGGGCAUUCUACCAGAGCGAACAAACCGAGGGGGAAAGUGCACCAAACGUCGUCGCAAGUCGCGACAGAACGCGAUGACGAACAGACCGACUCUGGGACAUCCGGCCAGUAACGGCGGGAGAACCCCCCGGGAACACGAUCGCAGGUUUUCCGGAAUUUGGUACCCAAUUGUUGACAGGACAGUACAUAGAGGGGACAGGAAACUAUACAUUAGAGCGAGGGGAACCGGAUCAGCAAAGGACCUCCAGAUGGGAUUCGAACACGUGUUGCCAUGUGCACAUUGACAGCACAUGCAGAGCA